rnacentral:rRNA from 1 species
GCGGGGGUAGAGCACUGUUUAGGGUAGUGCCUCAAGUAUUACCUGCGGGGGUAGAGCACUGUUUAGGCUAGGGGGUCAUGGCGACUUACCAAACCUAUGCAAACUCCGAAUACUGCAGAGUACAGCUUGGGAGACAGAGCACCGGGUGCUAACGUCCGGACUCAAGAGGGAAACAACCCAGACCGCCAGCUAAGGUCCCCAAAAUUGGCUAAGUGGGAAACGAAGUGGGAAGGCUAAAACAGUCAGGAUGUUGGCUUAGAAGCAGCCAUCAUUUAAAGAAAGCGUAAUAGCUCACUGAUCGAGUCGUCCUGCGCGGAAGAUGUAACGGGGCUAAGCCAGUCACCGAAGCUGCGGAUAUCUUUCUCUUUGCUUGCAUCGAGAUCAAUAUGGUAGGAGAGCGUUCUGUAAGCCUGCGAAGGUGUCUUGUAAAGGAUGCUGGAGGUAUCAGAAGUGCGAAUGCUGACAUGAGUAGCGAUAAUGCGGGUGAAAAGCCCGCACGCCGUAAGCCCAAGGUUUCCUGUUCAACGUUCAUCGGAGCAGGGUGAGUCGGCCCCUAAGGCGAGGCAGAGAUGCGUAGCUGAUGGGAAGCAGGUUAAUAUUCCUGCACCGUCGUAUGAUGCGAUGGGGGGACGGAUCGCGGAAGGUUGUCCAGCUGUUGGAAUAGCUGGUUCUUGACUCAUAGAAGGCGCUUAGGCAAAUCCGGGCGCGUAAUUCAAGGGGUUGAGACGUGUGCCCUUGUGGCACGAAGCAAUCGGAAGUGGUUCCAAGAAAAGCCUCUAAGCUUCAGUCAUACGAGACCGUACCGCAAACCGACACAGGUGGGCGAGAUGAGUAUUCUAAGGCGCUUGAGAGAACUCGGGAGAAGGAACUCGGCAAAUUGGUACCGUAACUUCGGGAAAAGGUACGCCCCGGUAGCUUGACCACUUUACUGUGGAAGGGCGAAAGGGUUGCAAUAAACUGGUGGCUGCGACUGUUUAAUAAAAACACAGCACUCUGCAAACACGAAAGUGGACGUAUAGGGUGUGACGCCUGCCCGGUGCUGGAAGAUUAAAUGAUGGGGUGCAAGCUCUUGAUUGAAGUCCCAGUAAACGGCGGCCGUAACUAUAACGGUCCUAAGGUAGCGAAAUUCCUUGUCGGGUAAGUUCCGACCUGCACGAAUGGCGUAACGAUGGCCACACUGUCUCCUCCCGAGACUCAGCGAAGUUGAAAUGUUUGUGAUGAUGCAAUCUACCCGCGGCUAGACGGAAAGACCCCAUGAACCUUUACUGUAGCUUUGCAUUGGACUUUGAACCAAUCUGUGUAGGAUAGGUGGGAGGCUUUGAAGCGGGGACGCCAGUUCUCGUGGAGCCAUCCUUGAAAUACCACCCUGGUUUGUUUGAGGUUCUAACCUUGGUCCGUUAUCCGGAUCGGGGACAGUGCAUGGUAGGCAGUUUGACUGGGGCGGUCUCCUCCUAAAGAGUAACGGAGGAGUACGAAGGUGCGCUCAGCGUGGUCGGAAAUCACGCGUAGAGUAUAAAGGCAAAAGCGCGCUUAACUGCGAGACCCACAAGUCGAGCAGGUACGAAAGUAGGUCUUAGUGAUCCGGUGGUUCUGUAUGGAAGGGCCAUCGCUCAACGGAUAAAAGGUACUCUGGGGAUAACAGGCUGAUUCCUCCCAAGAGUUCAUAUCGACGGGGGAGUUUGGCACCUCGAUGUCGGCUCAUCACAUCCUGGGGCUGUAGCCGGUCCCAAGGGUAUGGCUGUUCGCCAUUUAAAGUGGUACGUGAGCUGGGUUUAAAACGUCGUGAGACAGUUUGGUCCCUAUCUGCCGUGGGCGUUGGAAAUUUGAAGGGGGCUGCUCCUAGUACGAGAGGACCGGAGUGGACGAACCUCUGGUGUA